GAUUGAACGCUAGCGGGAUGCUUUACACAUGCAAGUCGAACGGCAGCGCGGACUUCGGUCUGGCGGCGAGUGGCGAACGGGUGAGUAAUGUAUCGGAACGUGCCCAGUAGCGGGGGAUAACUACGCGAAAGCGUAGCUAAUACCGCAUACGCCCUACGGGGGAAAGCAGGGGAUCGUAAGACCUUGCACUAUUGGAGCGGCCGAUAUCGGAUUAGCUAGUUGGUGAGGUAACGGCUCACCAAGGCGACGAUCCGUAGCUGGUUUGAGAGGACGACCAGCCACACUGGGACUGAGACACGGCCCAGACUCCUACGGGAGGCAGCAGUGGGGAAUUUUGGACAAUGGGGGCAACCCUGAUCCAGCCAUCCCGCGUGUGCGAUGAAGGCCUUCGGGUUGUAAAGCACUUUUGGCAGGAAAGAAACGUCGCGGGCUAAUACCCCGUGGAACUGACGGUACCUGCAGAAUAAGCACCGGCUAACUACGUG
rnacentral:rRNA from 1 species